rnacentral:rRNA from 1 species
AUGAUUCGUGGGACGUCCUGCCGGUGGUGGCGAGUCGAAGGCGUGCACCCGUUGUGGUUUACCCGCUUCGGUUAUUGCGCGCCGGAGGCGGACCCCGAUGAAAUCCUACCGCGGUGCUCUUCGCCGAGUGUCGAGGUGGGCCGGCACGUUUACUUUGAACAAAUUAGAGUGCUUAAAGCAGGCCUGUUGCGCCUGAAUACUGUGUGCAUGGAAUAAUGGAAUAGGACCUCGGUUCUAUUUUGUUGGUUUUCGGAACCCGAGGUAAUGAUUAAUAGGGACAGGCGGGGGCAUUCGUAUUGCGACGUUAGAGGUGAAAUUCUUGGAUCGUCGCAAGACGGACCGAAGCGAAAGCAUUUGCCAAGUAUGUUUUCAUUAAUCAAGAACGAAAGUUAGAGGUUCGAAGGCGAUCAGAUACCGCCCUAGUUCUAACCAUAAACGAUGCCAGCUAGCGAUCCGCCGAAGUUCCUCCGAUGACUCGGCGGGCAGCUCCCGGGAAACCAAAGCUUUUGGGUUCCGGGGGAAGUAUGGUUGCAAAGCUGAAACUUAAAGGAAUUGACGGAAGG